AAUAGAUACCCGGGUAGUCCAUGCCGUAAACGUUGGGCACUAGGUGUGGGGGACAUUCCACGUUUUCCGCGCCGUAGCUAACGCAUUAAGUGCCCCGCCUGGGGAGUACGGCCGCAAGGCUAAAACUCAAAGGAAUUGACGGGGGCCCGCACAAGCGGCGGAGCAUGCGGAUUAAUUCGAUGCAACGCGAAGAACCUUACCAAGGCUUGACAUGUUCCAGACCGGGCUAGAGAUAGUCCUUCCCUUCGGGGCUGGUUCACAGGUGGUGCAUGGUUGUCGUCAGCUCGUGUCGUGAGAUGUUGGGUUAAGUCCCGCAACGAGCGCAACCCUCGUUCCAUGUUGCCAGCACGUAGUGGUGGGGACUCAUGGGAGACUGCCGGGGUCAACUCGGAGGAAGGUGGGGAUGACGUCAAAGUCAUCAUGCCCCUUAUGUCUUGGGCUUCACGCAUGCUACAAUGGCCGGUACAAUGGGUUGCGAUACUGUGAGGUGGAGCUAAUCCCGUAAAAGCCGGUCUCAGUUCGGAUUGGGGUCUGCAACUCGACCCCU
rnacentral:rRNA from 1 species